rnacentral:rRNA from 1 species
UAGUCAUAUGCUUGUCUCAGAGAUUAAGCCAUGCAUGUCUAAGUAUAAGCAAUCUUAUACGGCGAAACUGCGAAUGGCUCAUUAAAUCAGUUAUAGUCUACUUGAUCGUAUCUUCUUACAUGGAUAACCGUAGUAAAUCUAGAGCUAAUACAUGCUAAAAAUCCUGGACGCGGCAACGCGGAAGGGACGAGUUUAUUAGAUUAAAAACCGACACCUCUCCGCGAGGGGAGGUAGCACAGGUGAUUCACAGUAACCGAUCGGAUCGUCGGCCCCGCCGACGACGAUGCAUACGAGUUUCUGCCCUAUCAACUUUAGAUGGUAGAGUAUCGGUCUACCAUGGUCGUAACGGGUGACGGGGGAUUAGGGUUCGAUUCCGGAGAGGGAGCCUGAGAAACGGCUACCACUUCCAAGGAAGGCAGCAGGCGCGCAAAUUACCCAAUCCCGACACGGGGAGGUAGUGACAAGAAAUACCAUUGUAAUGUCUCCUCGAGAGGCUUACGAUUGGAAUGAGUACAAUUUAAAUCCCUUAACGAGUAACGAUUG